rnacentral:rRNA from 1 species
UACGGGGGGAGCAAGCGUUGUUCGGAUUUACUGGGCGUAAAGGGUGCGUAGGCGGUCGUGACAAGUCACUUGUGAAAUCUUCGGGCUUAACUCGGAACGGUCAAGUGAUACUGUCGGACUAGAGUACAGAAGGGGCAACUGGAAUUCUCGGUGUAGCGGUGAAAUGCGUAGAUAUCGAGAGGAACACCUGCGGCGAAGGCGGGUUGCUGGGCUGAUACUGACGCUGAGGCGCGAAAGCCAGGGGAGCGAACGGG